rnacentral:rRNA from 1 species
UACAGAGGGUGCGAGCGUUGUCCGGAAUCACUGGGCGUAAAGGGCGCGUAGGUGGCCCGACAAGUCGCUGGUGAAAGCUCGACGCUCAACGUCGAGUCGGCCAGUGAUACUGUUGGGCUGGAGCACUGUAGAGGCUCAUGGAAUUCCGGGGUGUAGCGGUGGAAUGCGUAGAGAUCCGGAAGAACACCGGUGGCGAAGGCGGUGAGCUGGGCAGUUGCUGACACUGAGGCGCGACAGCGUGGGGAGCAAACAGGG